rnacentral:rRNA from 1 species
AUGCCUCUCCCCUUCGUGUACCAGGCUUUCCCGGAGAUGCUGCGCCCGCUCGGGUCGGUGUUGCCGGAGACGCUGCGGGCGACAAGGGUGCGGAGGUGGACGGAGCGAUCCCUGCAGAUCCACGACAACGCAUCCUCCUAUCUUCUCUCUGUGCGGGAGUGGAGGACGCUGUAUCAGAAGGCAGAGGCGCAGCCAGAUCCGGAGAUGAAGGUGUGGGCGUCGUGGGGGAUCGAGACAUAUGGCCACACCGCGGAUCAGGAGCUUCUCAAUCUAGCGAGGCGGAUCUACUUCGAGGGCACCAGAGAGGAGAUGAGGAGGAUGCCGCAUCCGACCGCCCCUUCGAAGGAUUUCGUCAAUUGGGCGUGGGCGGAGGCUAGGAGCAUGGAUCCACAAAGGCGGACGAGAUGGGAAUGCAUCGAGGGGAAGCUGCCAUCGGCGCCGCCAUCGGAUACAGAGGAGGUCGACCCCUGGCCGUAUCUCUCCCCUGCUCCAGCCACAGACUGA